AUUGAACGCUGGCGGCAUGCCUUACACAUGCAAGUCGAACGGCAGCACGGACUUCGGUCUGGUGGCGAGUGGCGAACGGGUGAGUAAUAUAUCGGAACAUACCCAGUAGUGGGGGAUAACUAUCCGAAAGGAUAGCUAAUACCGCAUACGAUCUGUGGAUGAAAGCAGGGGAUCUUCGGACCUUGUGCUAUUGGAAUGGCCGAUAUCUGAUUAGCUAGUUGGUAGGGUAAAAGCCUACCAAGGCGACGAUCAGUAGCUGGUCUGAGAGGACGACCAGCCACACUGGAACUGAGACACGGUCCAGACUCCUACGGGAGGCAGCAGUGGGGAAUUUUGGACAAUGGGGGCAACCCUGAUCCAGCAAUGCCGCGUGAGUGAAGAAGGCCCUCGGGUUGUAAAGCUCUUUUGUCAGGGAAGAAACGGAGUUCUCUAAUAUAGGAUUCUAAUGACGGUACCUGAAGAAUYAAGCACCGGCUAACUACGUGCCAGCAGCCGCGGUAAUACGUAGGGUGCAAGCGUUAAUCGGAAUUACUGGGCGUAAAGCGUGCGCAGGCGGUUUUGUAAGUCUGAUGUGAAAUCCCCGGGCUCAACCUGGGAACUGCAUUGGAGACUGCAAGGCUAGAGUGUGUCAGAGGGGGGUAGAAUUCCACGUGUAGCAGUGAAAUGCGUAGAGAUGUGGAGGAAUACCGAUGGCGAAGGCAGCCCCCUGGGAUAACACUGACGCUCAUGCACGAAAGCGUGGGGAGCAAACAGGAUUAGAUACCCUGGUAGUCCACGCCCUAAACGAUGUCUACUAGUUGUCGGGACUUAAUUGUCUUGGUAACGCAGCUAACGCGUGAAGUAGACCGCCUGGGGAGUACGGUCGCAAGAUUAAAACUCAAAGGAAUUGACGGGGACCCGCACAAGCGGUGGGAUGAUGUGGAUUAAUUCGAUGCAACGCGAAAAACCUUACCUACCCUUGACAUGGCAGGAAUCCCGAAGAGAUUUGGGAGUGCUCGCAAGAGAACCUGCACACAGGUGCUGCAUGGCUGUCGUCAGCUCGUGUCGUGAGAUGUUGGGUUAAGUCCCGCAACGAGCGCAACCCUUGUCAUUAGUUGCUACGAAAGGGCACUCUAAUGAGACUGCCGGUGACAAACCGGAGGAAGGUGGGGAUGACGUCAAGUCCUCAUGGCCCUUAUGGGUAGGGCUUCACACGUCAUACAAUGGUACAUACAGAGGGCCGCCAACCCGCGAGGGGGAGCUAAUCCCAGAAAGUGUAUCGUAGUCCGGAUUGUAGUCUGCAACUCGACUACAUGAAGUUGGAAUCGCUAGUAAUCGCGGAUCAGCAUGUCGCGGUGAAUACGUUUCCCGGGUCUUGUACACACCGCCCGUCACACCAUGGGNAGCGGGUUCUGCCAGAARU
rnacentral:rRNA from 1 species